GAGUUUGAUCGUGGCUCAGAUUGAACGCUGGCGGUAUGCUUAACACAUGCAAGUCGAACGGUAACAGGAGAGAGCUUGCUCUUUUGCUGACGAGUGGCGGACGGGUGAGUAAUGCGUAGGAAUCUGCCUAGUAGUGGGGGACAACGUGUGGAAACGCACGCUAAUACCGCAUACGCCCUACGGGGGAAGCGGGGAUCUUCGGACCUCGCGCUAUUAGAUGAGCCUACGUUAGAUUAGCUAGUUGGUGGGGUAAAGGCCUACCAAGGCGACGAUCUAUAGCUGGUCUGAGAGGAUGAUCCAGCCACACUGGGACUGAGACACGGCCCAGACUCCUACGGGAGGCAGCAG
rnacentral:rRNA from 1 species